rnacentral:miRNA from 1 species
UAUGGCACUGCUGAAGGUCCG